rnacentral:rRNA from 1 species
CAAUAGCGUAUAUUUAAGUUGCUGCAGUUAAAAGGCUCGUAGUUGGAUUUCGGGUGGGAAUGGCCGGUCCGCCGUUUCGGUGUGCACUUGCUACGCCCACCUUGCUGCCGGGGACGUGCUCUUGAGUUCACGCUCGGGACACGGAGUCGGCGAGGUUACUUUGAGUAAAUUAGAGUGUUCAAAGCAGGCCUACGCUCUGAAUACAUUAGCAUGGAAUAACACGAUAGGACUCUGGCCUAUCUUGUUGGUCUGUAGGACCGGAGUAAUGAUUAAGAGGGACAGUCGGGGGCAUUCGUAUUUCAUUGUCAGAGGUGAAAUUCUUGGAUUUAUGAAAGACGAACUACUGCGAAAGCAUUUGCCAAGGAUGUUUUCAUUAA